GUGACAAACAAAUCCAAGGUUUGUUUGAGAUGUUACAAAGGCAUCACCAAAUCUGUUUGUACAUUUUCAAAAGGAUCUGAGAUCUAUUUGUAUCCAAGUGGAUCCAGGUUCAUAUGACAAACGGAUUGGGAUCCAUUAAGAUACAAUGCGUUAAAGGAAAAAAAAUGGUUCUUCCCUUCUUCUCUCCCUCUCUUUCUCUCCCUCUUGAAGGAGCAACCCUAACCCUAGAUUUCAUCCGAGAGAAGGCCACAAUGCCGUAUCCUCGCCCCAAUAGUUAAGAAAAUUCAGAGGAUUUGAUUUUUCUACAUCACUACACCUCAACAUCAUCAUCAACACCAUCCCUUCCAUUGUUAGAUAAUCUUCAAGCAAGGGGAUAUUCUCUAAAAUGAUCAAGAUGGAAGAACUUUUGUUCUCACUUUGAACACAAUUAAAGGCUAGCGAGGAGGAUCUUGUCACGAUUGAGAACGGUUGUGCUUGGGCUUGAUCAUUUUGUCCAGAUCUAGAUUGAAGGAUGGAAACUAUUAGGUCUCAAUCAACACCGUCAAAUGAAGUUGAAUCUACCGAGCAAACUUCUUCUGGUGUACAUAUCUGACAAAAAAAGGAUAUUGCAUGGAGAUAUGUAAUUGAGGGGCAAAAUUCUCAAGGGGGAAGGAUCUUCAUUUAUAAUUUUUUUCAUGUUGUUGAGACCAUGUUAAAUUUUCAUUUAUAUUCUGACCUUGUUAAAUUUUUUUCUUUGUAAUAUUGUUAUAUUUUCGUACUAUUAUUUAGAUGUUCUUCUUUAACAUUGUUUUUACCAUUUGACAUUAUGUGAUGAAUAAGGUGUAGUUUUUUGUCAUUAGAAUAAA